AGAUCGAACUGAAGAGUUUGAUCCUGGCUCAGAUUGAACGCUGGCGGCAUGCCUUACACAUGCAAGUCGAACGGCAGCACGGGAGCAAUCCUGGUGGCGAGUGGCGAACGGGUGAGUAAUACAUCGGAACGUGCCCAGUUGUGGGGGAUAGCCCGGCGAAAGCCGGAUUAAUACCGCAUACGACCUACGGGUGAAAGCGGGGGAUCGCAAGACCUCGCGCAAUUGGAGCGGCCGAUGUCAGAUUAGCUAGUUGGUGGGGUAAAGGCCUACCAAGGCGACGAUCUGUAGCUGGUCUGAGAGGACGACCAGCCACACUGGGACUGAGACACGGCCCAGACUCCUACGGGAGGCAGCAGUGGGGAAUUUUGGACAAUGGGCGCAAGCCUGAUCCAGCCAUGCCGCGUGCGGGAAGAAGGCCUUCGGGUUGUAAACCGCUUUUGUCAGGGAAGAAACGCUCCGGGCUAAUACCUCGGAGUAAUGACGGUACCUGAAGAAUAAGCACCGGCUAACUACGUGCCAGCAGCCGCGGUAAUACGUAGGGUGCAAGCGUUAAUCGGAAUUACUGGGCGUAAAGCGUGCGCAGGCGGCUUUGCAAGACAGAUGUGAAAUCCCCGGGCUUAACCUGGGAACUGCAUUUGUGACUGCAUGGCUGGAGUGCGGCAGAGGGGGAUGGAAUUCCGCGUGUAGCAGUGAAAUGCGUAGAUAUGCGGAGGAACAC
rnacentral:rRNA from 1 species